CAGUAUAAUUAGCGUGAGGUCAGAUGUACUUUUAAUACAUAAAUACCCAUUAUUUUGUUCUGUGAGGUCAGAUGUACUUUUAAUACAUAAAUACCCAUUAUUUUGUUCUGUGAGGUCAGAUGUACUUGGAUACAUGAGUACUUAUAAUAUUUUUGUCCAUAUCUGCUCUUAUUCUCAACAAACGGGAGAACAUCAUAGCAGUUAAUGUUACAGUAGUUAUACUCUUCAUGAGUAGUUUUAGUAUUUUUGAUCAACCUUUGAAAAGAUACCCUAGGCAAUAGUUGUCUAGAAAUUCACUUAAAGGUGUACUUAUUAUUGAUAAAUUUGCAAGUUGUUUUUCUUAUUGGUCUUGAGCUUGACUAAAAUUGUGAUCUCAAAUAUAUGCCACUGUUAUGUUAUUGUUAUGCUAUAUAUAUAUAUACUUUUGUCAGAAAUAAAGUAUUUGCAACUUUAAA